UGCAUGCACAGCAGCAGGUGAACACUGCAUGGACAGCAGCAGGGUCAGCAGGUGAGCACUGCAUGGACAGCAGAGUGGUCAGCAGGUGAGCACUGCAUGGACAGCAGCAGGGUCAGCAGGUGAGCUCUGCAUGCACAGCAGCAGGUGAGCACUGCAUGGACAGCAGCAGGGUCAGCAGGUGAGCACUGCAUGGACAGCAGCAGGGUCAGCAGGUGAGCUCUGCAUGCACAGCAGCAGGUGAACACUGCAUGCACAGCAGCAGGGUCAGCAGGUGAGCACUGCAUGGACAGCAGCAGGGUCAGCAGGUGAGCUCUGCAUGCACAGCAGCAGGUGAGCACUGCAUGGACAGCAGCAGGGUCAGCAGGUGAGCUCUGCAUGCACAGCAGCAGGGUCAGCAGGUGAGCUCUGCAUGGACAGCAGCAGGUGAGCACUGCACGGACACCUGGGCACAGGCACAGCUCCAGGACAGCUUCAGUUUGGGAUUACCCAAAGGAAGAGGUCCCUGCCAGUCACCUUUGCCACACCUGCCCCAAAUCCCAGGCUCUGGAAGUCUCUUCCCUGACUCCAUUCCUGCAGUUUUCCCAUGGGAACAGGCCAGGAGCCCGUGCUGGCAAUGCCUCUGCUAUUCUCACACCCCCUGUUCAGGGUGCAACCCUCCAGGUUGUACUUUCAGUCCCUGAAUUUGGAAAACCUCUGUUCUUGAGUGCUGACUCAGGUUUGGUUUAGUGAUUCCAAGUCAGAGGAGAACCAGAAGUGACAAGGGAGGGGAAAUCUUGAGAGAGUGGCUAAGUGUUUGUGGUUCCAGGGCACAGACGGGGAAUUUUUGCCUGGAAAGGCUGUCCCUGCAGGAACCAAACCCUGGCCAUGUCCCUCCCCAGGAGCAGCACGUCCCUGAUCUGGUUUAACCCACCUGUGCCUCUGGCUGAGUGGAUGAGUCCACAUUAAAAAUUCCAAACCUGAGGGCUGCUGCUCCAGCUGGCUGUGCAGCUCUGUCACACGGCCUUGCAGCUUCAAAGGGGUGGCAGCACACAUUCCCCUCGUCCUCCCUCUGCGUGGGCUCGUGCCCAGGAGUUCUGCUUUGGGAUUUGGGAUUUGGGGCUGGAAUGGAGGAGAUCUCAAAGCCUCGGAGCACAUCAAAAAGCGCCGUGUGUGUGAUGAGUUUCUGUUUCCUAACGCAGCUUCUUCCAAGUGAAAACGCCUUUGGAGAGCCGAGCCUGCCCCAGGGGCUCCGGGCAGGGAGAGGACAGACACCCCAAAACUCGGAGGGACUCAGCAAAGGAGCUGGUGUGCCCCUGGGAGAGCCCCAAGGAGGAGGGGAGAGCGGGGUGACCCCAGCUCCCAACACAGAGCCCGGUGUUUGCUGUGCAGGGCCCAGCACGUGGAGAGGUGUGUGAGAGCCAGCACUGGGACACUGAGACCAGCACAGCUCCAGAGAGCAGCCCUGGAGUGCCCUGCUCUGACCCCACAGCUCCGAGCCUUCCUGGACUGGCUUUCGUUCCUAUCUGUGGUGUGUUCAGCUCUGCUCAUGACAAACCUGUGGAUAAAGGAGGGUGGUUUGGUGCCUAGGAGCAGAUGGAGGAUGUGUGGGUGAUGUCCUGGGAAGCAGUGUCUUAUCUGGUUCCUGGCUUGGCCAUGAGGUGUCAGCACACUGAACACAGCACAGCUGGAGCAGGGCUGUCAGAGCAGGGCUCAGGCUCCCGUGCCAAAACUGGGGCGUGUUUGUGUGCCUACCUCCUAUUAAUCACAAUUUUUUAAUUUUAAAGUGCCCUGAUUUAAGAUCCUGGGGAACGUGGAGUGCCCCUCAUGAGCAGUGUGUGCUGAGUGGCAAAGCACCAUUCCUUCAUCCAAACCAAACGUGAUCCCAGAGGCAUCAAGGAGUGCAGAGCCCUCCUGCUUUGGCUCCAGCUUCCCAGGGCAUGGCUUUGAAACCAUGGUUUGACCUGGGAGCACCUGGGGAGAUCCAAACCAAACCCCUGCUGCUGUUUUGGGCCCCUCCACGCUGGGAUUGAUGCAUUGCCACAGGCUGUGCUGAUAUUGAGUGUUGGACUGUUGCCUUCCUUGUGUCAGUGGGUGAAGGUGGUUGUUUUAUUCCCUGGAGGAAUUUCCUCAGUGUGUGUGUGUGUGCUGUGGGUCCCUGCUCUGUACCUUGGCCAUGACCUGUGACUUCUGAUGUUGCUGUUUUGUACUUUCUGGUUAUAAAUGGAGUUUUUCCUCUGUGGCUGAUGUGGUUCCACACUCUCAAUCCUGCUGUGGGAUUUAAAUCUCUCCUCACACACACUCAGUGCUCCCUGUUCCCCCAGGUCUGACAUUUCCCAUCACAGGGAAAUUUGGGAAAAUAAGAAGGCUGCUUCUGUCAGAGGGACCUGGUCCUGCUCUGCUGUCACUGACAGGGACAUCUGUUAUUAAUGAGAGACAAAAGUGGAGUCUUCUGCAA